AGGACGAACGCUGGCGGCGUGCCUAACACAUGCAAGUCGAGCGGUAAGGCCUCUUCGGAGGUACACGAGCGGCGGACGGCUGAGUAACGCGUAGGAAUCUACCCCAAACUGAGGGAUAAGCACCAGAAAUGGUGUCUAAUACCGCAUAUGCUCUUCGGAGUAAAGCUACGGCGGUUUGGGAAGAGCCUGCGUCCGAUUAGCUUGUUGGUAAGGUAAUGGCUUACCAAGGCGACGAUCGGUAGCUGGUCUGAGAGGAUGAUCAGCCAGACUGGGACUGAGAACGGCCCAGACUCCUACGGGAGGCAGCAGUGGGGAAUUUUCCACAAUGGGCGAAAGCCUGAUGGAGCAACGCCGCGUGCAGGAUGAAUGCCUUCGGGUUGUAAACUGCUUUUAUAUGUGAAGAUUAUGACGGUAGCAUAUAGAAUAAGGAUCGGACUAACUCCGUGCCAGCAGCCGACGGUAA
rnacentral:rRNA from 1 species